rnacentral:SRP_RNA from 17 species
GGCCCGGAAGGCAGCAACGUCACCGCGGACGACG